CUCACGGGACAACAUUCACACACAUUCUGCUUCAUGAAGAGGUCAGAUUAUCGUCAGACCAUAGACAUUACAUGUAAGGACACUGAACAUUUGGCCGGAUUACACAUAGAAAUGCAAUCCAAAACAAAAUGGGUAAAGAUAAAGCAUGUUUAUUGAUGCGGCAAACAAAGGUUCAAAUAUCCUCCAAAGCACUUCAAGCCCUCAAAGAAUGAAACUCAAAACGCAGAUGAGGUAAAAGAAGAAACUUCUAAAUUAAAGUGGAGCGACCCAGGGACAAGUCUGGUUUGGGUUAAAGAUUAUGGAUGGUUAACUUUGUGUAACAUGUUUGGACAAGCAAGUUUAGGUUUUAUGCAAGCGAGUUUAGCCAAGCGAGUACAGGCAAGCGAGUCAAGCUAAGCGAGUUUAGGUUUUAUGCAAGCGAGUUGAGGUAAGAGAGUCAAGUUACUUUAGGCCUCACUUUAUUUGCGGUUAAAUUGCGGCAUUAGGUUUAGAAAGAAGGUUAAAAUCCAGGCUCAGGUUUGCUUCCAGCCUCG